rnacentral:rRNA from 1 species
CAGCCGCCGCGGGAAAACGGAGGGUGCAAGCGUUAAUCGGAAUUACUGGGCGUAAAGCGCACGCAGGCGGUCUGUCAAGUCGGAUGUGAAAUCCCCGGGCUCAACCUGGGAACUGCAUCCGAAACUGGCAGGCUAGAGUCUUGUAGAGGGGGGUAGAAUUCCAGGUGUAGCGGUGAAAUGCGUAGAGAUCUGGAGGAAUACCGGUGGCGAAGGCGGCCCCCUGGACAAAGACUGACGCUCAGGUGCGAAAGCGUGGGGAGCAAACAGGAUUAGAUACCCCAGUAGUCCCUGUCUCUUAUAA